UUCCCUCAAAAGGAAUAUACGUAUACGCGGUGUAUAUAUACGUUAUCCCCACCGCUGUCGUUUGAGUUAGAAGCGCGUCACGUGACCGUGCGACGUAGCAACACCUAGCGUGAACAACGAGCGACGAAAAUUUUUCCGGCGACGGAAAGGAAAUGAUCGAUCGAGCAUUUAACCUUCGAGCGUGAACAUUCGAGAGAGAAGCUCUCGCGUUUAAUUAAUCUUAAUGGGUUGAUUAAAAUUCCUCCGUUUCCCAAGUGGAAUUAAAAAAAAUCUCGGAGAGAUUUAGCAACAGCGUCUUAACGAGGACGGUUUCAACGAUGUUUUUCAACGAUGAUUAUCGUUUUUAAUUAAUAACUUUACCACUUACUUACCCACUUUAAUUAUAAUUGCGUUGCUACAAGGUUGUUGUCGAUCGUAUCGGAUUGAUCAAUUCCUUACGCGGAACGUCGCGAGUUGCUUGAAUAUUUCACGAGACGGAACGAAAUCUAAAGAAAGAGGAAAAAAAAGAAGGAAAUCCUCUUAAACGGCAACGCAGACGUGAGCCGGUGUACGAAUCGUCAAUCAGCCACGAUAAAAUCACCGUGUAGCCAGAGAUAAUCGCGAAAAUGAUUUCACGGGACGGUUUCCAUAAGCGACAAAGUGGAUAGCCGAUUAUUAUUAUCGAUGCUCCCGAUCCCCGUGCAGAUUUCUAAUUUAUCGAUCCACGCCGCGCCAGCCCGGCUAAUUAAUGUCCACCAACGGCUAUUCUCGAAUCCUCCUCCCCCUCCCUCCUCCUCGAGCACGAGCUUCGAGUGAGACUAGUUAGCGGUAAAUGCAGGUCCAUUAUAAGGGCAAUUAAUGAGGGGCCGUGCGGCAUUAAUUGCAAUCGCGAAAUCCCAAUGGAGAGCCCUUCGAGGAUUGUUCGUGCUCGCGUUACGCGUCACGGUAGAACGUUUAAAAGGGAGUCGCGCGCACGGACGGAUGGUCGGAGACAUUUUUGACCAGCCGAGGGCGCUGCUUGUCCAUAUUUGCGUCCCGUUAACGCGACUAGGAGGCGUUGUAGUCACGUUUCGAGCAACUUCGUAUUAAAUAAGUCGUUACUUCUGACGAGUAAAAAUUGAGUGGUGAAAAAUUUCAAGCUAAAAUAGCGGUUGUGGAAUGUUUGUGUACAUUUUCGCGCAAUACCGGGUAGUAGAAGUAACUGGUUCGUGAAAGCUAACAGUUCAUAAAGUUGCGGACAGAAAAUGUUUAAAUAUCUCGACGGGAGAAAUGUUAAAUUAUCGUUCGAGCACGCGAGAGGUCGGAAACGAAGUAGAAAUACCUUCGUUUCAACCAGAUCCUAAAGAUAUUGAGGAAAUAAGCGAAUUAAUUUCCAACCUGAAAUACCGAUACCGAUUGACAUUUAUCUCUUUACCGGAUAAUAAGCGGUCGUUCGAGGGAAUAAGAGGAGAGAGAGAGAGGGAACAUGUUGGAGUGGAGAACGGUCGGAAAAUCAGGCGGCCCCCUCCGGGUGAAUCGGCGGCACAGCCAGUUCACAAUUAUGUUUAUCGACGCUUAGUAUCGGCGCCAUUACAUCGAGCUGGCAAGGACGACGCGAGCAAACAGAUUUUUAUCCUUCGAGUUUCAAUCUUUCGAAUGUUGAGGGAAGAGAAGUUCGAAAAAAAUUGUUAUUAAUAUACGGUUGAUUAAUUAAUAUGGAGGAUUUUAGGAAUAUUUUGAUCAAUUUUUCCUUGUCGAAAAAUUGAAAAAUUUUGAAAUUGAUGGAAAAAUAUUUGUGCGUUGAGAAUUCUGACAAUGGAAAGAUCCUUGUGUUAUUUCUUUCGAAAGGUUUUAAUCGAAUAGUGCAAUCGAUUAUUUUUCUUUAAUUUUAUCAUUGACAUGUAUAAUUGGCGUGAGAAUUAUUAAUUUAUUUAUUCAUUCACUUUAAAAGUAUCUUUUACACAAUUUGGAAGUUCGAAAAAAAUUGUUAUUAAUAUACGGUUGAUUAAUUAAUAUGGAGGAUUUUGGGAAUAUUUUGAUCAAUUUUUCCUUGUCGAAAGAUUGAAAAAUUUUGAAAUUGAUGGAAAAAUAUUUGUGCGUUGAGAAUUAACUGAGAAUUAAUUGGUCUGAUGUAAUAAUCGAUCCCAACUUUGACUUAAUGGAAAAAUCCUUGUGUAAUUUCUUUCGAAAAAUUUUAAUUGAAUAUUACAAUCAAUUCGAUUAUUUUAUUAUUUUUAUAAUUUUAUCAUUGACACGUAUAGUUGGCGUGAGAAUUAUUAAUUUAUUUAUUCAUUCACUUUGAAAGUAUCUUUUAGAUAUAAAUUGGAGACAACUUGGAAAAUGAUAUUGUUUACUUGAUUUAAUUGAAAAGACAAAAGAUAUGGUAAAUUGGUAAGAGAAAUGUAAUAAAAAAGAUAUUCAAUAUAAUUAUCCUGUCAAUGAGUAAUAUUAUAGCGAGAUCGAUUUUAAAUGUCUCUCUUCUUCACGAAAUCUCUGAGGGUAUUUGAAGAAUGAACGGUUGCUGAAAAACGGCAGGUCGAUGAGGACGACAUUGGGGAGGGGGAACAGCCACGGGGCGGGAUUCUUUUACGUAUCUCGAAAUACCUAAAAGCGACGCCUGUUUAAAUCACGAGAUACGGAAACCUGUGAUCAACUCUUCAACCUAUCUGAUUGUAGAAUGGUUGUUGCGUGAUGCGCGCGUAGGGAAAAAUAAUGAUAGGAAUAUGUGGGUAUAUCUUGCUCGAUUCCGUUGAAGAAAGCCGUUUGGAAAAAGAAAAAAAGAAUCUAAUACACGCGGUAUAUAAUUUUUCAACGAAGGGAAAUAAUAUUAACGCCGUGAUAAAAUUGAAAUACGACGCGUUUAAUUAACGUCGACGUCGAAUUGAAUUCGUGAAAAUAAUUGUCGAAAAAUAAGAAUUUAUCGGGGGAAACGCUAAUAGAAUUCGAAAGCUAACAAAUAGAACGAUUUUGACAGUAAUUACAAGUAUCCGUUUUCAUAAAGAGAGAGAGAAAGAGAUAAAGCAAUAUUUUAAUAAUUCGUUUCACGCUCAACUUUUUAAAUAAUAUCCAUAAUUCAGCCAAACGUGUCCUGGUUCGCGAAACACUUGCCCUACUAUUACCGAUCUACACCCUUUUCCCAUCUAACCCAAACACGAACGUCGUAUCCGUUCGAGCUAAAACCCGACGAACCGUAUCCCGGCGGAAUAAUCUCAAUAAUCGUUUCGACAAUUUCAAUCCGUUCCGUUCGUCGAAUAAUUAAAAACCUGUUCUCCUCGCGUGAAAAAGGAAACCUUCCUCCGAAGAAAUAUCCACCAAGUCCCGAUUAAAAGCGUUUAGCCCGCCACGCGAUCCAAUAUUUAUCAACGGGACGGGACGAAAGUGGCGGCCACUGUUAUACGUCCGAAUGGAAAAUGGCAAGGUGGCUGUAAAACCGCGGCGACCAAACCGUUGGAAUGUGGAUACCAUCUGUUCCUUCCGUCCGCCCCUUCCGAGCCUCUUUAUCGGGCGCGCGUAUUACCGACCGCGCAACCAAUCUUUCUGUCGGCCGACCGCUGACACGCGAGCUUUGAGGUUAGAAUUCGAAUCGCCCGUGUCCGCGCAUGCGCGCGGAUUCCAACGAAAUUCGCCCGUGUCCGCGCAUGCGCGCGGAUUCCAACGAAAUUCGCCCUUAUCCGCGCAUCGAUCGAUCGACGCCUCUUUCUCGCCAAGCGUCAACGUUGCUUGCUUACUUCAGGUAGCGAGGAAUUUUAAUUGGAGCGGGGAGAGGGAUUGAUCGAUCGCGGUACGUAACGACGCCGUCUCGUUUUUAUUUAACUCGUGUCGAGUCGAGAAUAUGAAAUUUCGAUUCGUCUCGCAAUUUUCGGAUUAAUUUUUCUUUCUUUUUACUGCAAAGAGGUUACGAAAAAAUAAACGCGAAACUUAUCUCUCGAACGCAAAGAGGCUCGCGAAAGUGGAAGUUCUUCUGGUGGUUGAAUUUAUUAGAUUCAAAUUGUGUCGCGCGAAAGGAAUUCUCGGGUUAUUCUCUUAAGCGCGUAUUACUGAUCCGUUAAUGAAUAAUAUUUAAUAUAUUCAGAGUGAAAACAGUCGCGACCACAUUCCUCUGUGAUCGAUCUGAUAUGGCUUUUAUGCUCUACUGAAUCCCGGAUUACGCGGAUGACCUCUUUCGAUUGUAAAGGCUAGAAAACCAACGAUAAAACACACGCUCGCAAUGUAAUCGUUGAUUCAUGGCUUUCUCUCGACUCGGAUUUAAAUAAAAAAAAAAAGAAAAUAAACGAUCAUUUUAUUAAGUGUAAUAAUUUAUCGUGGAACUGUGUAUAAAUAUUUUUUUAAUGGAAGAAACGAAAAUUAAGGAAAGGAAAAAAUAGUCAAAGAAUCGUCACGAUGUCAAAAAAUCGUUAGAGAAACGAGACCAAGUAAACUGGUCCAAUUUGUUAAAAUUUAAUACAAUAUAUACGCAGAAGAAAAAUAAUAUAACUCGUUAAUCACGUUUGCAAACGUUAUUAGAAACUCGUGAUAGACAUACCUAUAUAUAUAUAUAUAUAUAUUUGCAACGUAUAAUUAUCCCAUUGUUGCGCAAACAGGAAUCGAUCAAAUGCGUCAUAUAUGUAUAAACUUCCAUCGAUCAUUAUCUUAGUCACGAGGCGGUUCUUCAUCGGACAACAAAAACCUGUAUCGAGCAAUUUUAUCGCAAGUGAGUGAGAAUAUGACAAUUUUACGAGUAGAGUCCAUUGCAGAUUGGCGGCAAUUUGUACGCCGUUAGAAAUCGUGAUCGAUCGAUUUAAUAAUACCGCCAUCACUCCGUGUAUACACUUUGAAAUUCAUGAAUUAAUGAACCACGAUCCCGUGUACAUCUUGAUUAUUCAUCGAAUGUUCGAACUUAAUAAAUAGGGCUGCCUUCCAAGUCAGAGAACACGAUUUUAAUUUCGUUCGAACCGAGUCGAGAUCGAAUCUCGGACGGGUAAAUUGAUUCGACGAUAAACGAAGAGGAAAAGGUCGAUCGAUUCGAGAUUCGUAAUUCGUCGUCCAUUUUCACGGAUAUAAAUUUUCAGAGAAGAGAAAAAAAGUUUAUUUGAAAAGAGAGAGAGAAAACGAGCCGCGGAAUCGGCUCCGAUUCUCACCGAAUCAGAAAAGUGAAAGACGCGUAGCGAUCGCCACGCCUUUUCCAAUCGCGCGAUCGACAUCCAAUCGCGUGUCAACAUCGACUUAAUCCAAUCGUAAUCGAUGUUGCUCCCUUUCUCGAACACAUCCAUUCUUUCCUCUUUUCUCUCUCUCUUUCUCUUUCUCCUCCCUCUUCCGCUAAUAAUUCUUCGCGACGAUGAAUCGAUCAACAAUCAUCCGAUAGUUUUCAUCCGUGGCCGGGAUGAGGAUUUCGAGGCGAGCCAGCAGAGCAUGAACGACGCGACAUUUGCCGAUUGCCGUGUGGAAUGUGGUCGGCAACAUUUUUCACCAACCUCCUACUGUCAGUUAAAUAUUACGUAUCGUUGCGGAGAAAUCUCCAUCGGAUAUUACGUCGAGGGCGUCACUAUCAUUCGUGAAAGAAAUUCCGUCUUACCGUCGUUCGAGUAAGAAAAGGUUAGGAAAGAAAGAAGAAGGAAGAAGAAGAAAGGGAACGAAUUUUUUGUAAUGGUACGCGCAACAAGUGUAAUACGAGUAAAAAAUCGAUACGAGUCCGCUCGAGUGCUCCCUCUAUCUCACUUUCCCCCUCCACCUCCAAUCGAAUCCAUUUCCUGCGCGUUACGUUUAUCUCGGAUCAGUUUCAUCGUUCAGAGACAGAACAAAUCCACUUUGGUUUAAUAAUCACGACGAUUAUUUAACGGAAGCAAAAGCGCGAAGGUAUUAUACUUAUUGUAAGGAACGAAGGAACGAACGAAGGAACGAGCGUUCAAAUCAUGUCGAUUAUUAUUUAUGCGUCCUUCGGCAUGAUUUACGACCGGUUGCUAUUUUCUAUGCUUAGCGCCGUGUAAAGUUCCCAACCGAGAAUUCUUCCAGUUGAUAAUUCUACCUUGUUGCCUUCGAUUAC